UACGUAGGGGGCUAGCGUUGUCCGGAAUCAUUGGGCGUAAAGCGCGUGUAGGCGGUUCGGUAAGUCCGCUAUGAAAGUCGGGGGCUCAACCCUCGGAUGCCGGUGGAUACUGCCGGGCUAGAGUCCGGAAGAGGCGAGUGGAACUCCUGGUGUAGCGGUGGAAUGCGCAGAUAUCAGGGAGAACACCAACGGCGAAGGCAGCGUCGCUAGGACGGUACUGACGCUGAGACGCGAAAGCGUGGGAGCGAACAGGAUU
rnacentral:rRNA from 1 species